GAUGAAAGAACGUAGCGAAAUGCGAUAAGUAAUGUGAAUUGCAGAAUUCAGUGAAUCAUCGAAUCUUUGAACGCACAUUGCGCCCGCUGGUAUUCCGGCGGGCAUGCCUGUUCGAGCGUCAUUUCAACCCUCAAGCUCUCCGGAGUUUGGUGUUGGGGCGCCUGGGGCUUUUCGACCUCAGGGCCCUCAAGUCCAUCGGCGGGACCGCCAGGACACUGAGCGCAGUAGUAUUAUUUCGCUCGGUAGGAUCUUCCACGGCGGGUCGAUCUGGCCGCUAAACCCCCCAAUUCUCACCAAAGGUUGACCUCGGAUCAGGUAGGAAUACCCGCUGAACUUAAGCAUAUCAAUAAGCGGAGGA
rnacentral:misc_RNA from 1 species